GGAGGGUGCAAGCGUUAAUCGGAAUUACUGGGCGUAAAGCGCGCGUAGGUGGCUUGAUAAGCCGGUUGUGAAAGCCCCGGGCUCAACCUGGGAACGGCAUCCGGAACUGUCAGGCUAGAGUGCAGGAGAGGAAGGUAGAAUUCCCGGUGUAGCGGUGAAAUGCGUAGAGAUCGGGAGGAAUACCAGUGGCGAAGGCGGCCUUCUGGACUGACACUGACACUGAGGUGCGAAAGCGUGGGUAGCAAACAGGAUUAGAUACCCUGGUAGUCCACGCCGUAAACGAUGUCGACCAGCCGUUGGGUGCCUAGAGCACUUUGUGGCGAAGUUAACGCGAUAAGUCGACCGCCUGGGGAGUACGGCCGCAAGGUUAAAACUCAAAUGAAUUGACGGGGGCCCGCACAAGCGGUGGAGCAUGUGGUUUAAUUCGAUGCAACGCGAAGAACCUUACCUACCCUUGACAUCUACAGAAGCCGGAAGAGAUUCUGGUGUGCCUUCGGGAACUGUAAGACAGGUGCUGCAUGGCUGUCGUCAGCUCG
rnacentral:rRNA from 1 species